UACGUAGGUGGCAAGCGUUGUCCGGAAUUAUUGGGCGUAAAGCGCGCGCAGGCGGUCCUUUAAGUCUGAUGUGAAAGCCCACGGCUCAACCGUGGAGGGUCAUUGGAAACUGGGGGACUUGAGUACAGAAGAGGAAAGCGGAAUUCCACGUGUAGCGGUGAAAUGCGUAGAGAUGUGGAGGAACACCCGUAGCGAAGGCGGCACUCUGGGCCGAUACUGACACUGAGGAGCGAAAGCGUGGGGAGCGAACAGG
rnacentral:rRNA from 1 species